GAUGAAGAACGCAGCGAAAUGCGAUAAGUAAUGCGAAUUGCAGAAUUUCCGUGAGUCAUCGAAUCUUUGAACGCACAUUGCGCCUCCUGGUAUUCCGGGAGGCAUGCCUGUUCGAGCGUCAUUAAAAUCACUCAAGCUUAGGUUUGCCUAUUGCUUGGUCUUGAAGAUGGAAGCUAAGUAAUUAGAAUCCUCUUCGAAAUCCAAUGGCGAAGACCCUUGCUCUCCCAAGUGUAGUAAUAACUUAUUCACUGAAGGAAGCGAGUAAUCUUCCGCCGUAACCCCCAUAUUUUCUAUGAUUGACCUCGGAUCAGGUAGGGAUACCCGCUGAACUUAAGCAUAUCAAUAAGCGGAGGA
rnacentral:misc_RNA from 1 species